AUCAUUUUGAAGUCAAAUAAAAUAUCUAGGGAGAGAGAGAACUGUGAAAGAGAGUAGAGAAGGAAAGAGGAUCAUCCAUGGAAGCUUGGAAAAUUGAAGAGAUUAAAGGGGAAAAACAAGGAAUUAAGUUAAGGUCAAAACGAGGACACCGUCCCAUUGCUACCGGGAGCCGAUCACUGUGAGUAGCAGUACAGAAAUGUAUAUUUUAUUUACUGUUGAUAAUUAUUGUCACUAACACUCUGUUCUUUGUAAGUGGUACACAAACACUUAUGACGAUUGGAAAUCAGUGUGAACUUAUAUGAACAUUGAAAGAUUUGCGCACAUCGUUGGAGGUUUGGGCCAAGGGAAGAGAAGUUACUGGAUUGAGGGCUAGCUUGAAUACAUUGAUGUCUGAAGUACAACGCUUGAAUAAAUUAUGUGCAGAGAUGAAGGAAGUUGAAGAUUCUUUGAGAAAGAAGUGGAAAAAGAUUGAAGAAUUUAAUGGCCGCAAAUCUGAACUUGAAUCCAUAUAUAAUGCUCAACUUAAGGAUUUCUUCUGAAACUAUAAACUAGGAAUGGGUAUGCAUUGUACAAUCAUGGACUUGACUAAUGAUAUCACUGUUGCAGUGGAUUUGACUUGGUUUUUUUUAUGUUUGCCUACAAGAUGUUUGUAUUGAUACUUUAAUUGAAGAAGUGCCAAGAGGCACAU